AGGAAAACAAUAUUUUCUACGUGACUAAAUAGGAGGCUAAUAAUUCAUCAAUCCCACAUGCCAGACACCGUGCUCCUUCCCUACCUUCGAGCCCCGCUGCCGCCGUCGUCCGCCUGCCACCGCAACGACUCCUCCGCAUGCCGCGCUAGGCGUUCGAUCACCCGCCGUCGCCACGGAUGAAGGAACUCAUCCGGCGCCCGGCGGCCCUGCGGGUAACCAGCAAGACACAUACCUGCUGAUGCAGCCUGGAUAUCAUUGCCCAUGGAAUCCCUGACAUGGAGAACAAGCUUUGUGCUGUAAUUCCGGUGGGCCGCGUAGAAAUCUUCGACGGCCAAAGAAAUGCUGGUCCGUGCCACUUUUCCCACCAGCGAGCCCAGAUUGAGGAUCACUCCGACAUGGAACUCGUCUGCUUUGCUGGUGGUGUCCUGAGCUACUCCGAGAUCGCCAAGGAGCAAGAGCAACAGGAAGAGGAUGGUUCGGGGUGUUUUCUCCAUUCCGCGGGGCACCACAAGGUCUUAGAUUCUUUGGUGCUGAGAUGCACUGAAUUGCACCCUCUUAUGUAGGAUUAUACUUGUUGAAGACUUUUCCGUUUAACAAUAGUGCCACUAGUCAAACUGAAAGUUGCAAGGCAAAUCCGCACAGCUGUGACAGAUAAGUUGUCUAUUACCAGCAUCUUUCUUCG